CUUAAAAUGAAUUGACGGGGCCCGCACAAGCGGUGGAGCAUGUGGUUAAUUCGACGCUACGCGAAGAACCUUACCUGGGCUUGAACUGCUGGUGGUAGAAGCCCGAAAGGUAACGACCCGGAGCAAUCCGGGAGCCAGUAGAGGUGCUGCAUGGCUGUCGUCAGCUCGUGUCGUGAGAUGUUGGGUUAAGUCCCGCAACGAGCGCAACCCUUACCCUUAGUUGCCAGCGGGUAAUGCCGGGCACUCUAAGGGGACCGCCCCGGAUAACGGGGAGGAAGGCGGGGAUGACGUCAAGUCAGCAUGGCCUUUAUGUCCAGGGGCUACACACGUGCUACAAUGGGCGAUACAGAGGGAAGCAAGGCCGCAAGGUAGAGCUAAUCCCUAAAAGUCGUCCUCAGUUCGGAUUGCAGGCUGCAACUCGCCUGCAUGAAGUCGGAAUCGCUAGUAAUCGCGGAUCAGCUACGCCGCCGGUUGAACCUACGUUCUCGGCCUU
rnacentral:rRNA from 1 species